rnacentral:rRNA from 1 species
UACGUAGGGGGCAAGCGUUAUCCGGAUUCACUGGGUGUAAAGGGAGCGUAGACGGCCAUGCGAGCCUGGAGUGAAAGCCCGGGGCCCAACCCCGGGACUGCUCUGGGAACUGUGCGGCUGGAGUGCGGGAGGGGCAGGCGGAAUUCCUGGUGUAGCGGUGAAAUGCGUAGAUAUCAGGAGGAACACCGGCGGCGAAGGCGGCCUGCUGGACCGCGACUGACGUUGAGGCUCGAAAGCGUGGGGAGCAAACAGG